rnacentral:rRNA from 1 species
UGCUUGUACUUAAAGAUUAAGCCAUGCAUGUCUAAGUAUAAAUAGUAUACAGUGAAACUGCGAAUGGCUCAUUAAAACAGUUAUUAGUUUAUUUGAUAAUCGAAUUCUACAUGGAUAACCGUAGUAAUUCUAGAGCUAAUACAUGCUGUUAAACCUGACUUCUGGAAAGGUUGUAUUUAUUAGAUAUCAAACCAAUACUCUCACGAGUAUUGUGAUGAUUCAUAAUAACUGAUCGGAUCAAGGAAUUCCUUGAUAGAUCAUUCAAGUUUCUGCCCUAUCAGCUUUCGAUGGUAGUGUAUUGGACUACCAUGGCAGUCACGGGUAACGGAGAAUUAGGGUUCGAUUCCGGAGAGGGAGCCUGAGAAACGGCUACCACAUCUACGGAAGGCAGCAGGCGCGUAAAUUACCCAAUCCUGAUUCAGGGAGGUAGUGACAAGAAAUAACAACUCGGAUACUCACGUAUUACGAGAUUGCAAUGAGAACAAUUUAAACCACUUAGCGAGG